GAGGGUAUAGCUCAGUGGUAGAGUGCAUGCUUGGCAUGCACAAAGUCCUGGGUUCAAUCCCCUGUACCUCCA
rnacentral:tRNA from 1 species